rnacentral:rRNA from 1 species
AGUGAACGCUGGCGGUAGGCCUAACACAUGCAAGUCGAACGGCCGCACAGUAAGAGCUUGCUCUUACGGGUGGCGAGUGGCGGACGGGUGAGGCAUACAUCGGAAUCUACUUUUUCGGGGGGGAUAACGUAGGGAAACUUACGCUAAUGCCGCAUACGACCUACGGGUGAAAGCAGUGGUUCUUCGGACCUUGCGCGACUGAAUGAGACGAUGUCGGAUUAGCUAGUUGGCGGGGUAAAGGCCCACCAAGGCGACGAUCCGUAGCUGAUCUGAGAGGAUGAUCAGCCACACUGGAACUGAGACACGGUCCAGACUCCUACGGGAGGCAGCAGUGGGGAAUAUUGGACAAUGGGCGCAAGCCUGACCCAGCCAUACCGCGUGGGUGAAGAAGGCCUUCGGGUUGUAAAGCCCUUUUGUUGGGAAAGAAAAGCAGCAGGUUAAUACCCCGCUGUUCUGACGGUACCCAAAGAAUAAGCACCGGCUAACUUCGUG